ensembl:snRNA U6 U6 spliceosomal RNA
UUGUUUCUGUAGCACAUAUACCAAAAUUGGAACGACACAGAUUUUCAUGGCCCCUGUAGAAGGAUGACAUGCAAAUUUCACAUUUCCGUAGGUUUUAU